GCAGUCGUGACCGAGUGGUUAAGGCGUCUGACUCAAAAUCAAAAUCGCCGUGGGAGCGUAGGUUCGAAUCCUACCGGCUGCG